rnacentral:tRNA from 1 species
CGGGCCUAUAGUCUAAGUGGAUAGGACAUCAUCCUUCUAAGUUGAAAAUGAAGGUUCGAUUCCUUCUGGGCUCGA